CAACGUGAGUUUCUCUCAUUUUUGAUGAGAUAACAAGAAAGGCAGCUUCGUUUACAAAAAGCUUCUCUCUUGUUCUGCCAAGUAAUCCUUGUUACUGGGGAAAGCCCCUCUGGAACACUCAGCAAUGGCUCCCAGCCCAGCCCAAAGAGUCCUAAACUCACAGCCAGUGGAGGAAAGUGCACAGA